GAUGAACGCUAGCUACAGGCUUAACACAUGCAAGUCGCGGGGUCUGUUUCUGCAGACGACCGGCGCACGGGUGAGUAACGCGUAUCCAACCUGCCCCUCUCUUUGGCAUAGCCUUUCGAAAGAGAGAUUAAUUCCGAAUAACGUAGUAACGUUGCCUGAUGAUACUACGAAAGCUCUGGCGGAGAGGGAUGGGGAUGCGUUCCAUUAGGUAGUAGGCGGGGUAACGGCCCACCUAGCCAACGAUGGAUAGGGGUUCUGAGAGGAAGGUCCCCCACACUGGUACUGAGACACGGACCAGACUCCUACGGGAGGCAGCAGUGAGGAAUAUUGGUCAAUGGGCGAGAGCCUGAACCAGCCAAGUCGCGUGAGGGAAGACGGUACUAAGUAUUGUAAACCUCUUUUGUCAGGGAACAAAACCUGCAUGUAUGCAGCAAAUGAGUGUACCUGAAGAAAAAGCAUCGGCUAACUCCGUG
rnacentral:rRNA from 1 species